rnacentral:lncRNA from 1 species
UGAUUGAUUUGACUCCUCCUUCUGAAGUCCCAGGCCAGGUAAUGCAAGGGGGGAGGGGAGGGAAGAAGCAGAAAUUCAAAGAUCAAAAGAGAAAGUGUCAAGUUCUCCAGAAUAAGAGAAAGAGCACAGAGAGUAGAAAAUGGACAGCUUCCCUCCUCCCCCCCCUACUCUUUAACAGCACAACAUUAUUCCAUUACCAAUAUGUCAUGGGAUCUUUGCAACCAUCCUGUGAAGUGGGAGUUAUUGUUUUCCUCAUUUUAGUUAGCCUGAGAUGCUAUAUGGAACAAUAUAAUACAGUUUUCUAUAAGCAAAAAAGCAAAAUUCAAAUUAAACAGAUUCACAAUCUGCGACAUAAAGGAAUAAGAAGCAUGUUGAACUCAAAGAGUUCCAGUUGUUCUGCAGGACUUAUUCUGCUUAUGUGA